GUGCUAGCCUUGGCAGCACAUAUACUAAAAUUGAAACAAUACAGAUUAGAUUAGCAUGGCCCCUGUGCAAGGAUGACACGCUACAAUCACGAAGCGAACUAAAUUUUA
rnacentral:snRNA from 1 species